GACGAACGCUGGCGGCGUGCUUAACACAUGCAAGUCGAACGGAAAGGCCCUGCUUUUGUUGGGUGCUCGAGUGGCGAACGGGUGAGUAACACGUGAGUAACCUGCCCUUGACUUUGGGAUAACUUCAGGAAACUGGGGCUAAUACCGGAUAGGAGCUCCUGAUGCAUGGUGGGGGUUGGAAAGUUUCGGCGGUUGGGGAUGGACUCGCGGCUUAUCAGCUUGUUGGGGGGGUAGUGGCUUACCAAGGCUUUGAAGGGUAGCCGGCCUGGGAGGGUGACCGGCCACAUUGGGACUGAGAGACGGCCCAGUCUCCUACGUGAGGCAGCAGGGGGGAAUAUUGCGCAAUGGGCGGAAGCCUGAUGCAGCAGCGCCGCGUGCGGGAUGACGGCCUUCGGGUUGUAAACCGCUUUCGCCUGUGACGAAGCGUGAGUGACGGUAAUGGGUAAAGAAGCACCGGCUAACUACGUG
rnacentral:rRNA from 1 species